UACGUAGGGUGCAAGCGUUUGUCCGGAAUUAUUGGGCGUAAAGAGCUCGUAGGCGGUUUGUCGCGUCGGCUGUGAAAACUCGGGGCUCAACCUCGGGCCUGCAGUGGGUACGGGCAGACUAGAGUGCGGUAGGGGAGAUUGGAAUUCCUGGUGUAGCGGUGAAAUGCGCAGAUAUCAGGAGGAACACCAAUGGCGAAGGCAGCACUCUGGGACGUGACUGACGCUGAGACGCGAAAGCGUGGGGAGCAAACAGG
rnacentral:rRNA from 1 species